AAAUAGCCCUGAUGGGAGCGGCAUCCUUUUGCAGACACGAAACAACGCGAAGUGUCCGCAGAAGAUACAGCGAACAGCAGGAACAUGG
rnacentral:sRNA from 1 species